CACAGUUCUUGUAUGUAUUUUGAGAUAAAGUACAGGCAGGGUAUAAUUCUGAAGUUAACCUCACAAGUAAGUCCAUUAAGGUUUUACUGAGAGAAAUGGCAGAUUAACAACUAAUUUUAAUAGAAAUUAAUGUUUAAAAAACUGUGUUUUUGAAAGUUAAUCAGACCAUCACUUCAAAAACAAAAAUACAAAUAACUUUACUGUCAUGAGUAACAGCAAAUUUAAAGGCUUUUUUUUGUAGAUUUAACAAUCCAAAACAUAAAUUUCUUUGAAAUUAUUUCAUAUAACUCUUUAUUAAACUAGAUUAACUUUAAGACCAUCAGUGUUUCCCCGGGGAUGUUUUUCAGCAGUGGUGCUGUUGUGUGUGUGUGUGUUGAUGUAUGUUAGUGAAGGAAAAGCUUUAAAUGACCUUAAACUCAUUAUAGAGAGAUCAUUCAUAUUCACAUGGUCAUGUAUGUGUUAAUUUCCUGAGAUCUUUUGACACCUGACUUCAUGAGCCAGACUCUGAAAAUUCAACUAAAAUUUGACUAACAAGGUACAAAGCUGUGCCAGUUUAGUUUAAGUUUGUGCCUCUUUCAAAAUCAGAAAGUAAACAUUUUUAAACAGAGGCGUCAGCUCUAAAAUCCAAAUGAGUGUUGAGUCAUUUGUUUGCACAUUGUUUGUGCACAAUAAACUGAGAUAAUUUGAGAAAUAAUGAAGCACAGAUAUUUGUUUUGCUAGAACAAACAAAUGAGACUACUUGGAGUCAUAUGGGUGUGAACAGGGUGCUGACAUAGUGGGCCUGUGCUUGACAUUUGUUGUAAGCACAAAUGUAAAUUGUUUUAUUCAUAUCUUGAUCUCAUGGUUUUACACAAGGUUGCACCUGUGUUGGACUCCUUAAUGGUGAAGCCACCGUAUGUACAUGAAUGUAUUUGUUUGUAGGUGUGUGGUAGGCUCCCCUUUAUUUCAUGCUAUCCCCAGUCAGUUGUGUGCAGUGUAGAAAGUGAAAGUUUUAGAGGCUACAUUUUGUUGUGAAUAUUAAUGAACCAUGUGUAACUUCAGCUGCAGUGCUCAUAUUCCCACUGCUGAAUGCAUACAGGGGAAACACUGUCUGUUCUAACUUUAAUAACUCUAAGGUAGUAUUGCGAUGUUUAUUCAUAUUUAAAUAGCUAAAAAGAAAUUUUUUACUGGCUAGAAACCUGCAGCUACAACCUAAAUGAAAACCAAUUUAGGCAAAAAAAAUAGAAACAAAAACUUUCAUAUUGUGCAGAAAAAAAUAAUUUAAAUUCCUCUGAGCUUCCUUCAGUGUAUACAAGCAUUGUUUAAGAUGAACAGAUUUUAUUUAGUCCUCCAGCUUUACGACUAAGCUGUAUUGUUGGCCCCUAGCAGGUGUUUUUGUUUCACACAGCUGGAAGGAGGAAGUCAUUUCAGUGUAGUGAAGGAGUAUUUUACAGCAUCAGGGGUGCAGUCUCUUUAAAACCUGCAAUGAAACCUGCCUAACUUUGCCUUAAGGAGCUGCAUUUUCCUCACUCACAAAGUGCUGGGGAAAAUAAAAUUGUUGUGAUGUUUUGGAUUUUAAGAGUUGUAAAAUCAUAUAAAACAUGUAGUUCUUCUGUUUGUAUGCAAGUCUUGAGGGAGAGAUGUGUCAAACAAGUUGAUGUCAGUAUACAAGAUUAGAAAUGGCUGGUUUGUAAAGAUUCAGCCUUCCAAAUAAUCACCUGUUUGUUCAUAAAAUGCUGUAGAUUUUUGUCUUUUUCUCCAGAGGAGACAAAUGAUCAGUUAUUGGUAGCAUUCAAAGUUGGUACCCCAUAUUGGCCUAAAAUCAGUUUGUACUGGCAUUUGUGACAGAAAGGAGUUGGUGAUGGUGGUUAGGGAAAGAAGAACCAAUCUAUUAGUUUCAACUAGGCUUAGUAGAGUUUAACACACAGAACCAUAAAAUCACUGUCAUUUCUCACAGUUCAACCAGUUAAUGCAGAUUAUAAAAUAUCUCCCCUGCACACCAGAAAAUGUGGUUGCAGAUGGUUGUUAAAAAAGGAAGUUUAACAAAAGCCUCCAGUGUUGGAGAAGUGGCUCAUUAUCUUGUCAGCAGGCAGAGAAAUGAACAGACAGCUACUGUUAAAGCUGCGUGGGCUCUGGAGGAAAACAAAAAUCUAAAGACUAAAAUCCUACAAAAUAAUGUGGUAGCUGCUGUUAUAGAUGACUGACUGACAGGAGGAAGAUGAUACAGAGGAACCUGAAAAAGACUGAGGACAGGUGUAUACCCAGUCAGUAAAUUUAGAAGUAUAUUCUUGUGACAUAUUAGCCCAUCUAUACAAAUAUGUCUGUACUUUUAAGCCUUACUUGAACUGCAAAUUGUACCCUGUCAAGCUAAUUAUAUUUUUAGCUUUUGUAAUAACAAUAAUAAGCUGCAGGUUUAAAUAGUCAGUCAAUGUACAUAUCAGCUGUUAAUUAAAAACAGUGAUAGUUAUCAAAAAAUCAGACAGACCUCUCAGUUAAACAUAGUGUAAUACAGUGUCUUUAUUUGUCCACCAGGGGGCACAUAAUGUCACUUAAAAGACUUGUAUGUUUUUACAGAUGCAGCUACUUUGGACUCAAGACAUGGAAGAAAAGGAGGAAAAGCUCAAGAUACAAAAACAAAAGGAGAGCCAGCCACUGCAGGACUCCAGGUAUUCCUGGGAUUGCUGCAGGUGUUGGCCGAGGUCACGUCCCCACAUCCCCGCACACUGCCAUUUGAGUGAGCCUACCAAUCCUGACUUCAAACACAUGCGCUCAAUCAAGCACCCAGGUACAGAUGCAGGGCCGUACAUUGAGCGUCGGCCAGCAAGAUCCACGGGAAGUUCUUUGAGAGUAAAGACCAGCAACUCGACCUGUGCAACUCAUCUGAAGCAAGGAAGCUGAACAAGGACGCAACUCUACCGCCUUGGUAAGCAUGCUCUGUUUGCACACUGGGGCAUCGGCAUGCUCAAAAUGGAGACUGAUGUCACAUGUCUUCUUUUGUUCCACAGACUGUGGGGGGGGCACCGAACUGAGCUGGGAGCCAACUACCCAGAGAACAUGCAUGAAUCUACUGAGUACAAAUACCUACGAGAGAUAAAUGACUUUGACUGCAGUACCUGGUGCAGGCAGCUCCAGCUUCGCUCUCCGCAGCUCUGUCAUGGAGGCCUGUAGCUGCUCAAUCACCAUGUCAUCCUCCAAGAAGAACUCUUUGGACAGCGUCACCUGAAGAAACUCCACCAGCUCCUCCAUGGACAACUUCAUCAGGUGCUCUGCAGGUGCUGUUUCAGUUUGGGCAUCAUCUUCUUGAGGAUACGAUCAUGGUGUUCCUGGAAACGCAUCAGUUUCGGGAAACCAGGGACAAAAAACCCUGAAGAUGACGACAGACAGGAUGAC